AUGGAGUACUCGCCGAAACUAGCAGUACUGGUGCUCUUAGCUCUCGCGUCCGCCAUGGCGGUCACGGCCCAGAACUUGGAGCAGGACUUCGUGGACGCCCACAACGCGGCGCGCGCCGACGUGGGCCUUGCCUUCGCGCAGGACUACGCCGAUCAGCGCCGCGGCGACUGCCAGCUGAUCCAUACUCCUGAUGGCCGGCCGUACGGGGAGAACCUCUACGGAGGCGGCGGCGGUGGGACCGAGUGGACGGCGACGGACGCCGUGAAUUCGUGGGUGUCGGAGAAGCAGUACUACGACCACGACAGCAACACCUGCUCGGCGCCGGAGGGUGAGUCGUGCGGGCACUACACGCAGGUGGUGUGGCGCGACUCGACGGGUAUCGGCUGCGCCCGCGUCGUCUGCGACAGCGGCGACGGUGUGUUCAUCAUCUGCAGCUACAACCCGCCAGGCAACUUCCCCGGGGUGAGCCCGUACUAG
rnacentral:rRNA from 1 species